rnacentral:rRNA from 1 species
CUACAUGAAGCUGGAGUUACUAGUAAUCGACGAUCAGAAAGCGGCGGUGAAUGCGUUCCCGGGUCUUGUACACACCGCCCGUCACACCACGGGAGUUGGAGACGCCCGAAGCCGAUUAUCUAACCUUGUGGAAGAAGUCGUCGAAGGUGGAAUCAAUAACUGGGGUGAAGUCGUAACAAGGUAGCCGUAUCGGAAGGUGCGGCUGGAUCACCUCCUUUCUAAG